rnacentral:lncRNA from 1 species
AGGAAGUGGAUUGGUCGCCAGGAAAGGGAAAGCUCCUGAAUUGGAGGUACGCAGGCGCAGGCACUGAGGUGGGGGGGCCGGGGGGUAAAGCGAGAAUGGGGAGGGGCGGAGCUAACAGGAGGUGAGGAAGGGCGGUGGAACGGUAGGCGAAUUACGGGGCGCCAUUAAGGACAAACUUAGCCACGUGACUCUCAUGGGAGUUUCCUGGAGCGAAUGUAAGGAAGAGGUCUAAGAAGGGAAAGUUUGAUUGGAUUAAUGCAUGGGGUGAGGUUGAAGAUUUAGGAAGUUGAAAACUGGAGAGGUUAAAGAAUAUGGCUGGUGAGGAAGGUGCAAGUUGGUUAGGAACAGGUUUCGAUUUAAGAGUGCCCUAGAAAGACUACGAAAGUCCGGUUGGGGAAUUUCCAGAAGCAGUUUCAGGUGUUCCACCUAAAAGUACCCCAGGGUGAAGACAAUUAAGGUUUUUCCUACACAGGUCUUAGAAAGUACCGUUCUAGCAAGCAGAUUUUUUAAAUUACAAUGAAUUAUUAAAUGAAAUGACCAGGUUAAAAAAAAUUUGCUACGCUUGCCAUUUCCACUGAAUGCGGAACCAAAUCAACUUUUAAAAGUGGUACCAGCUUAUUUUCUCUUAAAUGUCUGAAUUCGUGCAUCUGGCCUCCAAUUUUUAUCCAAACAUUGCUAAGGUUUGCCAGCAGAAUCUGGCUGGGUGUUCAGUACUGGCCGGCUUUGGCUGGUCAGGAGCCAAAGGAGCAAAGGUGCAGAACUGGUCUUGAUUCUUGCUCCACCUGCGGCGCCCCGCCCCCAAAGUGAGCUAGGAGCAACUAGAAACACUUGAGGCAGGUCCCUCCUAUUCAGCUUUUGCCCAUUUGCUUCUUUCUGUUUACUGUUUUUACUUACCAUUUAUUAUUUUUUUCCCAACUGGGAUAUAAUUGAUUUUCAAUAUUGUAUGUUUCAGGUAUAGAGCGUGGUGAUUCGCGAAUUUAAUAAUUAUUAUAAAACAUUGGCUAUAUUCUUUGUGCUGUGCAAUAUAUCCUUGUAAUGUUGCGGAAACCACAAAAACCGUGGCAAUGGAAGGAGACAAACAGCACUCGGAAAUAUGGAAAAGCAAGGUUUAUUCAGCACCGGUGCGGGCUCAGAGGAGUCACCUCCAGAGUCUGAGCACCAGGUCUUUGUUCUCAGUAACUUUUAUACACUACAAGGUCUUGAUUUUCCCAUGUAAGCAUCCCGGACCUCCCCCAUCCCCAAGCAGUCUUCCUCCCUAAGAAACUGAGCCGGCAAGGUUGCAGAAGCGGAACUGAUAAGCAAUGCUGGGUACCUGAUGAGCAGGGCUGCUGGCUUGGAUAUAGAGUACACAGUUGUUACAUUAUUAUAAGAAGGGUGGUAUAGUGAUAAGCACAGCUGGAAAGGCUUGCAGCUGCCUUCUUAGCCAAGGGGGGGGGGUUGUUCUUUGGUUAAAACUCCAUUUCAGUAACUUUAUUAUGCAUAGUAGUUUGUACCUCUUAGCCCCCACCUCUACCUUGCCCCUCCCCCUGCCCUCUCCCCAGUUGUAACCACUAGUUUGUUCUCUAUAUCUGUGUCUGUUUCUUUUUUUGUUAUAUUCAGUAGUUUUUUUUAUUUUUUAGAUUCCACAUAUAAGUGAUUACCUCAAGUAUUUGUCUUUCUGUGUCUGGUUGAUUUCACUAAGCAUAAAACCCUCAAAGUCCAUCACGUUGUUGCAAAUGGCACAAUUUCAGGUUUUUACUGCUGAGUAGUAUUGCAGUGUGUGUGUGUGUGUGUAUUUAUGUGUAUGUAUGUACACGUGUGUAUAUAUUUUAUAUAUUACAUCUUCUUUAUCCAUUCGUCUGUCGAUGGACACUUAGGUUGCUUCCACUUACCGUUUAUUCUUAGCAUACACAUUGCCCUUCCAAACUGAGUGUUGAUACUUCCUAUACUUAAAUUAAAAACAAACAAAGGCGUUCCUGCUGUAGUGCAGUGGGUUAAUGAUCUGGAGUGACUCUGUGGCAGCACCUGUUCAAUCCCCAGCCGGGAGCAGUGGGUUAAAGAUCUGGCUCUGCUGCACCUGUGGCAUAUGUUGCAUCUCUGGCUCAGAUUCCAUCCCUAGCUCAGGAACUUCCAUAUGCCACAGGUGUGGCCGAAAAACAACAACAAAAAAACGCUAUCACUAGGUUUGUCAUUUAAAGGGCAGUGAAAGAGAAAGAAAGACAAAUACUGCUGUUCUGUACAACUGAUGAAUAGUUAUGAGAGGACUAUCCCAAAACACCAUGGCAAUGGCCCUCACAUUCUCAUCAAAGUUCUCUUUCUCAUUUUAUCUGAUUGUCUUUAGAAGAUUGGCCUAUGCUGUUGAUAAAUCCUUCUCCUCAAUCAAAUCAAUCUUGGCCUUUCCUCAGGUGUUAAAGAAGAAAGCAUGUGGAGUUCCCACUGGGUUCCCUCAGUGGGUUAAGGAUCUGGCAUUAUCAUUCCAGUGCUGUGGCAGAGGUUCGAUGCCUGACCUGGGAAUUUCCACAUGCAGGCACAGCCCAAAACAAAGAGAAAAAAAGAAAGUGAGUAAAGACUGUUAUUUGAGGCAUUUUAUUGUGAAAAGCAGCAGAAAAAUAUAACCCUAGGAGAAUGUGAGGUCAGGGAGGAUUUUGUUUGUGUAUCUUUUAUAUUGCAUUUUUUAAUGAACGAUAUAGAGAGUGUGGAGUUCCUGUCAUGGCUCAGGGGUAACGAACCUGACUAGGAUCCAUGAGGACAAGGGUUUAAACCCCGGCCUCACUCAGUGGGUUAAGGAUCUGGCAUUGCCAUGGGCUGUGGUGUAGGUCGAAGACGUGGCUCAUGUCUUGCAUUGCUGUGGCUGUGGGAUAGGCCAGCGGCUACAGCUCUGAUUCAGCCCCCCUAGCCUGGGUGCUUCCAUAUGCUGUGGGUGCAGCCCUAAAAAGCAAAAAAAAAAAAGAAGGAAGGAAGAAAUAGAAAUAGAGAAUGUAUAGGAAUGGAAUCUGGAGGGAAAUAUUGAGGAUGCAGGAGAGAGGAAAAAAGAUAACAAAAGAGCAAAAUCCUUGCAGUGAGAAGGAAUGGCAUCUCAAGUACCCGUGGAGGGAGGUCCCAUUGUGUUUCAGCGGGUUAUGAACCCAACUGGUGUCCAUGAGAAUUGGGUUCGACCCCUGACCUCGCUGAGUGACCUAUGUAUGGAUCAAGCUGCAGUAUAGGUCGUAGAUGCUACUUGGAUCUGGAGUGGCUGUGGCUGUGGCAUAGGCCAGCAGCUGCAGCUCUGAUUGGACUCCUAGCCUGGGAGGGGUCCAGUGCUGCAGAUGCGC